rnacentral:rRNA from 1 species
AUUGAACGCUGGCGGCAGGCCUAACACAUGCAAGUCGAGCGGUAGAGAGGUGCUUGCAUCUCUUGAGAGCGGCGGACGGGUGAGUAAUGCCUAGGAAUCUGCCUGGUGGUGGGGGAUAACGUUCGGAAACGGACGCUAAUACCGCAAACGUCCUACGGGAGAAAGCGGGGGAUCUUCGGACCUCGCGCCAUUAGAUGAGCCUAGGUCGGAUUAGCUAGUUGGUGAGGUAAUGGCUCACCAAGGCGACGAUCCGUAACUGGUCUGAGAGGAUGAUCAGUCACACUGGAACUGAGACACGGUCCAGACUCCUACGGGAGGCAGCAGUGGGGAAUAUUGGACAAUGGGCGAAAGCCUGAUCCAGCCAUGCCGCGUGUGUGAAGAAGGUCUUCGGAUUGUAAAGCACUUUAAGUUGGGAGGAAGGGUAGUAACCUAAUACGUUGCUACUUUGACGUUACCGACAGAAUAAGCACCGGCUAACUUCGUGCCAGCAGCCG